rnacentral:lncRNA from 1 species
UAAAUCCCAUCACCGCAGUGGACCUUUGGGGGUUGAAUCAGAUCAGCUCUAGAUCCUUCUCAGUGUCCCAGCUAUCAACACUACCUGCUUCUCUGAGUCUGCAAAAGAGAACGAAGGCUGCAGAAUUGCCUCCACGCAGAAUGGAGUCUGAAAGAUCUCUGGCAGAGGGAGCCGCAGGGCUAAUUGGAGCAUCUAGAGUCUUGCUACUCAAAAUGGGGGCCCAGCCUGGCAGGAGCAUCAUUGCAUGAGAACUUAUUAGAAACACAGAAUUUGAACAAAUUGGUGAACCCCAUGGAGAUGAAUGACGCCAGUGAGCCACCGACUGUCAACCAACUCAGGAGGCUUUCUUCAGCAGUGUGCAGUUUGAGGUGCGUGUCAGAAUUUCAUGCAGAAUUACCGGGAAUUACUAGAUGUCUUAUGUGAUAGAUACUGUGUCUGUUAUCUUUGCUGAAAGAGGAGAAACAAGUAUAGAAGAGGACUCACUGACUUGAUAUGUGUGCACUGGUCACACAUUGAGAAAUAAUUGGCAAAAGUGAUAUUAACAGAAAUUUGUUUACAGGACAAAUCUGGCCCAUUGCCUUUUUUUGUAAAGCUCAAGAACUAAGAAUGGGGGUGGAAUCAGCCUCCCCAAGGAACGCCAGCGUCUUCUGUGCAAGAGAAAAGAGAAGUGAUGCAUACAAGGCAGCCAUCGAUGCCUACUGUAACUUUCUGUUUUAAUUCUUUCCAUCCUUUGAAAUUCCAAAUCACUUCUAUAUAACUCCUUCCUAGAGAUUGAUCACUUUCUCCUUGAACUGUAUUUUUGUGCAUAACAUCUCAACUUCUCAUUAGAUCGUAAACUUCUUGAGAGCAAAGGCC